UACGAAGGGGGCUAGCGUUGUUCGGAUUUACUGGGCGUAAAGCGCACGUAGGCGGAUCGUUAAGUCGGGGGUGAAAUCCUGGAGCUCAACUCCAGAACUGCCUUCGAUACUGGCGAUCUUGAGUCCGGAAGAGGUGAGUGGAACUCCUAGUGUAGAGGUGGAAUUCGUAGAUAUUAGGAAGAACACCAGUGGCGAAGGCGGCUCACUGGUCCGGUACUGACGCUGAGGUGCGAAAAGCGUGGGGGAGCAAACAGGGAUUAAGAUACCC
rnacentral:rRNA from 1 species